UUUAUGGAGAGUUUGAUCCUGGCUCAGGAUGAACGCUGGCGGCGUGCCUAAUACAUGCAAGUCGAGCGAACGGACGAGAAGCUUGCUUCUCUGAUGUUAGCGGCGGACGGGUGAGUAACACGUGGAUAACCUACCUAUAAGACUGGGAUAACUUCGGGAAA
rnacentral:rRNA from 1 species